rnacentral:lncRNA from 1 species
CCCAACUCGUUUUUCCACGCUGAUUUCCCCAGUGGCCAAAUCGGAGCCAAAAUCCCGGCCAAACGACCGAAAGCCAGCGGCGCUGCCGCGCCCCUUCUCAGUUUUUGCCUCCGAUGAGGCCCUUCCCGGCCUCCGUUUAAUGCAAUUUUUAUAUCACCGUGAUCACCAUUCUUUUCUCUACAGGUUAAUCGGAGCCGAAUCACCAAAACACGAACUUCACCGGAGAACCGCCGCACCCGAGAGCACCGCCGCCGGUAAGCUUCGGUUUUCUGUAAAUUUUCGGCCCCCUGAGGGCCGUAGGGUUGUUUUAUCGCAGGACCAAUGCGAGUGUGGCUGAAUUCGGCCGAAAACGGCCAACCCGAGGCAAACCACUGCCGUAAGCGGCGGCGCCGUCGCCGGAGCACGGCGGAGCCGCCGUGCCGGAGUUGCGAUAUUGGCCGAAAGGGGCCCUGGGCCUAAUUUGGGAUUUUUUUGGAACACGUGCAGGUACCAGUAGUGCGUUUCAGUUC